rnacentral:ribozyme from 1 species
CCAUCUGCACGCUUGAGCGCUAGCCUGAACCCCGCCAAAAAGCCGACGA